GGAUGUGAGGGCGACCUGGCUGCAACAUCUGUCACCCCACUGAUUGCCAGAGUUGAUCCGACUGAUCUGGCUGGCUGGGCGGGUGUCCCCUUCCUCCCUUACUGCUCCAUGUGCGUCCCUCCUGAAGCUGUACGCUCGGUCAAAGAGGACGGCCUUCCCCGCAUAGAAAAGGGUAUAUGUAGGAGUAGCUAUGCUCCCCUGCUAGAACCUCCAAACAAGCUCUCAAGAAACCAAAGAAAUGUAAGUGUUCAGGCUUUGAUAGGCUAAU
ensembl:misc_RNA 7SK 7SK RNA